UACGUAGGGUGCUAGCGUUGCUCGGAAUCACUGGGCGUAAAGCGCACGUAGGCGGCUUCUUAAGUGUGGGGUGAAAUCCUGGAGCUCAACUCCAGAACUGCCUUUGAUACUGAGGAGCUCGAGUCCGGGAGAGGUGAGUGGAACUCCGAGUGUAGAGGUGAAAUUCGUAGAUAUUCGCAAGAACACCAGUGGCGAAGGCGGCACACUGGCCCGAUACUGACGCUGAGGUGCGAAAGCGUGGGGAGCAAACAGG
rnacentral:rRNA from 1 species